rnacentral:rRNA from 1 species
UGGGGAAUUUUGGACAAUGGGGGCAACCCUGAUCCAGCCAUGCCGCGUGAGUGAAGAAGGCCUUCGGGUUGUAAAGCUCUUUCAGCCGGAACGAAACGGUCACGGUUAAUAACCGUGACUACUGACGGUACCGGAAGAAGAAGCACCGGCUAACUACGUGCCAGCAGCCGCGGUAAUACGUAGGGUGCGAGCGUUAAUCGGAAUUACUGGGCGUAAAGCGUGCGCAGGCGGUUUUGUAAGUCAGAUGUGAAAUCCCCGGGCUUAACCUGGGAACUGCGUUUGAAACUACAAGGCUAGAGUGUGGCAGAGGGGGGUGGAAUUCCACGUGUAGCAGUGAAAUGCGUAGAGAUGUGGAGGAACACCGAUGGCGAAGGCAGCCCCCUGGGUUAACACUGACGCUCAGGCACGAAAGCGUGGGGAGCAAACAGG